ACUCAAAUGAAUAGACGGGGGCCCGCACAAGCGGUGGAGCAUGUGGUUUAAUUCGACGCAACGCGAAGAACCUUACCCGGGCUUGAACUACUCGUAGUAGGCUGCCAGAAACGGUGGCCGAUCCGCAAGGAAGCGAGCAGAGGUGCUGCAUGGUUGUCGUCAGCUCGUGUCGUGAGAUGUUGGGUUAAGUCCCGCAACGAGCGCAACCCCUACUCGAUGUUGCUAAUCCCGCAAGGGAUGCACUCUUCGAGAACUGCCUUCGAUAAGAAGGAGGAAGGUGGGGAUGACGUCAAAUCCUCAUGGCCCUUAUGUCCGGGGCAACACACGUGCUACAAUGGCCGGUACAACGGGAAGCAAUACCGCAAGGUGGAGCAAAACCCUGAAAGCCGGCCCCAGUUCAGAUUGUGGGCUGCAACUCGCCCACAUGAAGGCGGAAUCGCUAGUAAUCGCGAAUCAGCAGGUCGCGGUGAAUACGUUCCCGGGCCUUGUACACACCGCCCGU
rnacentral:rRNA from 1 species